rnacentral:lncRNA from 1 species
ACCUGUGCAUCCUCCGGUAUGCACCAAUUUAUCCAAUUGCUGUUUGAUUCAGAAUAUAUCUUCUACGUAUUUGUCCAGUUCGUCUUCGUUACCUUCAUUAUCCAAAUCACUUUCAUCUUCUUGUUGCGGAAUCUCUAUACCUUCAUUAAGGUCUUCCAUAUUCAUCUCUGCAUGUCUUCGUUUAAAUAUUUUUACUCGCUUCCCUGCAAUUGGUAUUUUUAAUUUUGUACCAUUUAACUCCCGUAAUGAGAAAGUCGCAUUAUCAUGAACAGUUGUUACCACAUAUGGUCCAAACCAACAUUUUGAGAAUUUCUGCAAAGUACUAUGUUGAUUAUCCAGACUA